rfam:Paenibacillus popilliae ATCC 14706 DNA, contig: contig185.
UUGAUGAUGAGGUCGAAUCAGAAGGAAGUCGGCGGCAAAUCUCCGUGUCUGAGGAACACGAACUUUAAUAAGGCUGCCCAUUUGGAUGAAAUUGCUAAACAAGCCAAAGUCCGUAUUGCCGAAGGAAUGCCCCUACUCGAUUCGGAGGUCCGCGGGAAUGUUAGAGUU